rnacentral:rRNA from 1 species
UACAGAGGGUGCAAGCGUUGUUUCGGAAUUAUUGGGCGUAAAGCGCGUGUAGGCGGCUUUGCAAGUCGGGUGUGAAAGCCCUCAGCUCAACUGAGGAAGUGCGCCCGAAACUGCAGAGCUUGAGUACCGGAGAGGAUGGUGGAAUUCCCCAAGUAGAGGUGAAAUUCGUAGAUAUGGGGAGGAACACCGGUGGCGAAGGCGACCAUCUGGCGGAGUCUGACGCUGAGAGCGAAAGCGUGGGUAGCAAACGAGG